AGGGAACGCUGGCGGUAGGCCUAACACAUGCAAGUCGAACGGCAGCACAGUAAGAGCUUGCUCUUACGGGUGGCGAGUGGCGGACGGGUGAGGAAUACAUCGGAAUCUACUUUUUCGUGGGGGAUAACGUAGGGAAACUUACGCUAAUACCGCAUACGACCUACGGGUGAAAGCAGGGGAUCUUCGGACCUUGCGCGAUUGAAUUAGCCGAUGUCGGAUUAGCUAGUUGGCGGGGUAAAGGCCCACCAAGGCGACGAUCCGUAGCUGGUCUGAGAGGAUGAUCAGCCACACUGGAACUGAGACACGGUCCAGACUCCUACGGGAGGCAGCAGUGGGGAAUAUUGGACAAUGGGCGCAAGCCUGAUCCAGCCAUACCGCGUGGGUGAAGAAGGCCUUCGGGUUGUAAAGCCCUUUUGUUGGGAAAGAAAAGCAGCAGGUUAAUACCCCGCUGUUCUGACGGUACCCAAAGAAUAAGCACCGGCUAACUUCGUG
rnacentral:rRNA from 1 species